rnacentral:lncRNA from 1 species
CUCACGGUGGCGCAAACUAAAGGUUUGGGCAAAGAGUGCUAAUAAACGAAAGGUUUGGUACUUUGGCUGCAAUUUUUCCAAUUAUUUAGUAACCCUCUCAAACUUUCCUCCAACCUUUGUUGUAUUAGAGGCAUCAAAAUCUAUCGAGAGUUCAUUUGUGCCUACACACGGGUCUGUCCAAUAGCUCUUGGGACCCGGCUGAAAGGUCUUGAGCCUUGAAACAAAAACUUGUCAUUUUAUUAGCAAAGUGUCGUUAUGUUCAAAACUCAAAAGAUAGGAAAGGCCUUUUUGCCCUGCCUAGCUUGGCUUUGUGAGCCAAAAGACUGCUGCAAAUAGACAGUUCGUUUAAAAAUUUUAAAGAAAAUUACAGUUUUUUCAUUUUAGAUUCAAAAAGGAUUUGUAAAAGUGCAUAGGCCUGACACAUCUACACAUGGCCUGUGAUGAGUGAUUUACACUCAUUUUAUUAUGUCAUUAAUUUUAUGAUUUUUCUAUCUUGGAGAGUAUUUUAGAAGUGCUAACAAGUGAUUUUGGCGUUGUUUUGUAGAUUGAUGAAAAUGGAGAAAACUAGAGCUAAAAGAGGUCAAAGGAAGGAAAUAGGCAAAAGCUAGCGAAAUUGGAUGAAAUGACCAAAACGUUAGAGAUCCAAAGUUCGAGGAUUAAAAUACAAUUAAUCAAAAGUCGUGUCGAAACUUGAAAUGAAGAUUCGAGAGUUCUAGAAGCCAAUUGGAUAAAGGAAGGUGUCAAAGGGAUCAAAUUUAGUCAAGAUAUGAUCCUAAAUCUUUUUCCAACCAAAAAGUUUUGUGCCGGAGUUUUGGAUAGAAAACGACCGAAUUGGAGAAUGAUUCCUGAAGCAAAAUUGUAGUCCUUUGACUUAACUUUUCAAUACAUCUUGAAUCACUUCAAUCGGAUAUCGAACGAAAAAGUUAUGAUAAAAAUAUUGAAAGCUAUCCAGUGCAACCGAAGUAGUCCUCAGCACCCAGGUGCUAUCCCUCAGCGCUUAGGUGCCAUGAUGCUGAAAUUUUGACAGAAAGUCAACACAUAGGUGCCCAAAUCACAGCGCCCAGGCACCGCCGUGCGCGAGUAAUUUUUUUAGAUUUUUACCAUUCUUUUUUGGCCCAACUCAUCUCAAAAUCUUUCCCUAAACUCCAAGACAUUAUAAACACAGAAUUGAAGACCUAAUUUAGAGGGGAGCCGCACACUAAAAAUCUGUAGAAUCAAGCCACGCGUUCUUGACAUAUUGGAGAGAAGACAACAAGAAGGGAGAUUGAAAAGAGAAAUUCAAGAAGAUUAACACCAAGCAAUUGAAGAUUAGAAGCAUUCAUUGGAAGGGGAAGGAGAUGUUGGUGCGAGAAUUCUGCUUUUUCUUCUACGUCUUUAUUACAAAUUCGGUGAUGUAUUCUAAGACAAUUUCCUAUUUUUCUUCCAUUAUUAUGAGUAGUUAAAUUUGAUUUUAGGGCGAACAAUGUAAUCUUUUGGAAUCCUUUAUUUCAUGCAAUUGAGAUUCUAGUGCUUUUAUAUUUUAUGUGUUGAUUUUAAU